UUCGAAAGAAAGAUUAAUACCCGAUGGCAUAAUAGAACCGCAUGGUUUGAUUAUUAAAGAAUUUCGGUUAUCGAUGGGGGAUGCGUUCCAUUAGGCAGUUGGUGGGGGUAACGGCCCACCAAACCUUCGAUGGAUAGGGGUUCUGAGAGGAAGGUCCCCCACAUUGGAACUGAGACACGGUCCAAACUCCUACGGGAGGCAGCAUG
rnacentral:rRNA from 1 species